AAGAUCAUACUUCACAGGAUCAUUUCUGUAGUAGGUCUUCCCAUACUCUCUACUCGAACGUAGAGUUGUCGCAACCAUGAUGACGAGACAAGAGUCUCGUAUCCUGAGCGUGAGGCAGAUUUCUGGUGGUAGUUUUACAUUGCCGCAGAAGUCAUCGAUGAUCGUUCACCUGCAAUUUUUUUGUGGGCACGGGUACGAGGCAGUCCGAGUGGU